AACGAACGCUGGCGGCAGGCCUAACACAUGCAAGUCGAGCGAAGCCUUCGGGCUUAGCGGCGGACGGGUGAGUAACGCGUGGGAACGUGCCCUUUGGUACGGAAUAGCCCCGGGAAACUGGGAGUAAUACCGUAUGUGCCCUUCGGGGGAAAGAUUUAUCGCCAAAGGAUCGGCCCGCGUUGGAUUAGGUAGUUGGUGGGGUAAUGGCCUACCAAGCCGACGAUCCAUAGCUGGUUUGAGAGGAUGAUCAGCCACACUGGGACUGAGACACGGCCCAGACUCCUACGGGAGGCAGCAGUGGGGAAUCUUGCGCAAUGGGCGAAAGCCAGACGCAGCGACGCCGCGUGGGUGAUGAAGGCCUUCGGGUUGUAAAGCCCUUUUCCGAGGGAAGAGAAGGGACGGUACCUCGGGAAUAAGCCUCGGCUAACUACGUGCCAGCCGCCGCCGUAAAAC
rnacentral:rRNA from 1 species